rnacentral:rRNA from 1 species
AUCGAACGCUGGCGGCAUGCCUUACACAUGCAAGUCGAACGGCAGCACGGGUGCUUGCACCUGGUGUCGAGUGGCGAACGGGUGAGUAAUACAUCGGAACAUGUCCUGUAGUGGGGGAUAGCCCGCCGAAAGCCGGAUUAAUACCGCAUACGAUCUACGUAUGACAGCGGGGGACCUUCGGGCCUCGCGCUAUAGGGUUGGCCGAUGGCUGAUUAGCUCGUUGGUGGGGUGAAGGCCUACCAAGGCGACGAUGAGUAUCUGGUCUGAGAGGACGACCAGCAGCACUGGGAGUGAGACACGGCCCAGACGCACAGGGGUGGGGGCAGGGGGGAAAUUUGGACAAGGGGCGGAAGCCUGAUCCAGCAAUGCCGCGGGUGUAAAGAAGGCCUUCGGGUUGUAAAGCACGUUUGUCCGGUAAGAAAUCCUUGGCCCUAGUGCGGUCGGGGGAUGACGGGAACGGAGGAAAAAACACCCGCUAACUACGUG